UCAUUUGAAUUCGUCUCAUGAUUUAUUUGAAUUUGAGUUCAAGCUUUCUGAAGAAUACCAGACAGUUAAUGUUUCUGUAAAACUUGAUUCCUUCAUAUUUGAGGAAGAAGGAAGCGAUGACGAUAAAUUUGAGCCCUUCUCUC